GCAAGUCGAACGGUGUCUUCGGACAUAGUGGCGCACGGGUGAGUAACACGUAUGCAACCUACCUUACAUUGGGGGCUAGCCUUUCGAAAGGGAGAUUAAUACCGCAUAAGUAAGUCGCUGGACAUCCAGCAGCUGUUAAAGAUUUAUCGAUGUAAGCUGGGCAUGCGUCCAAUUAGCUAGUUGGUGAGGUAAUGGCUCACCAAGGCUAUGAUUGGUAGGGGAACUGAGAGGUCAAUC
rnacentral:rRNA from 1 species